rnacentral:rRNA from 1 species
CAAAAACAUGUCUUUUUGAGUUAUUUUUAAAGUCUAACCUGCCCACUGAAUUAUUUUUAAUGGCCGCAGUAAUUUGACUGUGCAAAGGUAGCAUAAUAAUUAGUCUUUUAAUUGAAGGCUUGUAUGAAUGGUUGGACGAAGUAUAAUCUGUUUCAUUUAAAUUUAUUAUAGAAUUUUAUAUUUUAGUAAAAAAGCUAAAAUUUUUUUAAAAGACGAGAAGACCCUAUAAAUCUUUAUAAUUUAAAUUUAAUUUUUAUUUUUUUGAUUUAUUUUAUUUUAAUAAUUUAGAUUAUUUUAUUGGGGUGAUAUUAAAAUUUAAAUAACUUUUAAUUUUUUUUAACAUUAAUUUAUGAUUUAUUGAUCCAUUAAUAAUGAUUAUAAGAAUAAGUUACUUUAGGGAUAACAGCGUAAUUUUUUUGGAGAGUUCUUAUUGAUAAAAAAGUUUGCGACCUCGAUGUUGGAUUAAGAUAUAAUUUUAGGUGUAGUUGCUUAAAUAAUAAGUCUGUUCGACUUUUAAAUUCUUACAUGAUCUGAGUCCAAACCGGA